rnacentral:rRNA from 2 species
UGGAGAGGAUGUAUUGCCCCAGUACCGGCGAGUUCCCUGGAACGGGACGCCAGAGAGGGUGAGAGCCCCGUACGGCGGGACGCCGCGCCUCUGCGAAGCUCCUUCGACGAGUCGAGUAGUUUGGGAAUGCUGCUCCAAACGGGAGGUAAAUUUCUCCUAAAGCUAAAUACCGGCCGGAGACCGAUAGCGCACAAGUAGAGUGAUCGAAAGAUGAAAAGCACUUUGAAAAGAGGGUCAAACAGUACGUGAAAUUGUUGAAAGGGAAGCGCCCGUGGCCAGACUCGCGCCCCGCGGACCACCCGGCGGACUCCGCCGGGGCACGCCGCGGGGCGCGGGCCAGCAUCGGCCCCCGCAGGGGGACAAGGGCGGCGGGAACGUGGCUCCUCUGGGAGUGUUACAGCCCGCCCGU